rnacentral:rRNA from 1 species
CCUACGGGUGGCAGCAGUGGGGAAUAUUGCGCAAUGGGGGAAACCCUGAUGCUGCGACGCCGCGUGAGUGAUGAAGUUAUUCGUUUUGUAAAGCUCUGUCAGCAGGGAAGAAUCUGCAGGUAGCUGAGUAAGACUCACCGGAUAACUACGUGCCAGCAUCCGCGGUAAUACGUAGGGGGCAAGCGUUAUCCGGAUUUACUGGGCGGAAAGUGAGCGUAGACGGCAGUGCAAGUAUUGAGUGAAAGGCGGGGGCUCAACCCCCGGACUGCUCUGGAAACUGUACGGCUGGAGUGCAUGAGAGGUAAGUGGAAUUCCAGGUGUAGGGGUGAAAUGCGUAGAUAUUAGGAGGAACACCAGUGGCGAAGGCGACUUACUGGAAUGUAACUGACGUUGAGGCUCGAAAGCGUGGGGAGCAAACAGGAUUAGAUACCCGGGUAGUC